rnacentral:tRNA from 1 species
GCCGGAGUAGCUCAGCACGAAGAGCGUUAGACUGAAGAUCUCAAUGUCCCCGGUUUCAUCCCAGUUUCCGGCG